rnacentral:rRNA from 1 species
AGGUUAAGUCAAGACUCAGGGUUAUUAACCCUGAGCAUUUCGUCUCUAUUGAAAGUGCUUUACAACCCUCAGGCCUUCUUCACACACGCGGUAUUGCUGGAUCAGGCUUGCGCCCAUUGUCCAAUAUUCCCCA